UACGUAGGGACCAAGCGUUGUUCGGAUUUACUGGGCGUAAAGGGCGCGUAGGCGGCGUGGUAAGUCACUUGUGAAAUCUCUGAGCUUAACUCAGAACGGCCAAGUGAUACUGCUGUGCUAGAGUGCAGAAGGGGCAAUCGGAAUUCUUGGUGUAGCGGUGAAAUGCGCAGAUAUCGGGAGGAACACCGGUGGCGAAGGCGGUUCUCUGGGCCUGUACUGACGCUGAGGAGCGAAAGCGUGGGGAGCGAACAGG
rnacentral:rRNA from 1 species